UACAGAGGGUGCUAGCGUUGUUCGGAAUCAUUGGGCGUAAAGGGCGUGUAGGCGGUUUGUUAAGUCAUGUGUGAAAUCCCUCGGCUCAACCGGGGAAGGACGCAUGAAAUUGGCAGCUAGAGUACCAAAGAGGGGGGUGGAAUUCCUGGUGUAGGCGGUGAAAUGCGCAGAUAUCAGGAAGAACACCCGUGGCUAAGGCGGCUCUCUAGUAACGGUACUGACGGCUGAGACGCGAAAGCGUGGGGAGCGAACAGG
rnacentral:rRNA from 1 species